CGUUGGGCUCGAGGAAGCCGGUGUAACUCCGGCACAGUCGCGCUACUGUGACAUCGCUCCGGCGGUGGAGUCAGACCCGAGGGCCCAGCG
rnacentral:ncRNA from 2 species